UGAGAGAUGGAUGAAGA
rnacentral:sRNA from 1 species